AUGCUCCUGGAUUUGGUGUACCACUUCCAGUCACAAAGAAAAAAAUCCUCUUCUAUCUAGUAUAUAUCCACCUGCUAUAGUUUUUCAGCCUUAUGAUUAAUUAGUGGUGUGUCAAGCCUUGAACUUUUUAUUGCUCCAUUUUAUUUCUUUUCAACUUAUUAUUGACCAUCUUUGUACAUAUUGUGGAACACAUUGUCUUUAGGCCUUGUCUGAUUCUUGAUGAUGGUGAAAGAAGGAUAGCUGAAACUACAGCAAAACCCACCCCCAUGAUUCAGUUACCUCCCACUAAGUUCCUUC
rnacentral:lncRNA from 1 species